UAGCAUGUUCCCAAGGUCUGUGGCUAAUAGUGGCCAUGGGAUCUCCAACUGCAUGCGAGAGUAAACUGGAGAGUCUUUGACAGCGCAAGCCACCAGUACUUGUAGCUGCCACUCACCUUUCCUAUAAAA